CAGUGAUAAACUGGAGGAAGGUGGGGAUGACGUCAAGUCAUCAUGGCCCUUACGACCAGGGCUACACACGUGCUACAAUGGCAUAUACAAAGAGAAGCGACCUCGCGAGAGCAAGCGGACCUCAUAAAGUAUGUCGUAGUCCGGAUUGGAGUCUGCAACUCGACUCCAUGAAGUCGGAAUCGCUAGUAAUCGUGGAUCAGAAUGCCACGGUGAAUACGUUCCCGGGCCUUGUACACACCGCCCGUCACACCAUGGGAGUGGGUUGCAAAAGAAGUAGGUAGCUUAACCUUCGGGAGGGCGCUUACCACUUUGUGAUUCAUGACUGGGGUGAAGUCGUAACAAGGUAACCGUAGGGGAACCUGCGGUUGGAUCACCUCCUUA
rnacentral:rRNA from 1 species